UGGGCAGUAUCAAAGCGAACUGCACCAUUAUUUUACGCAGUAUGAAAAAAUAAUAAUUUGGAUUCUGCCUUGAUCCAAUAAUGGACUGGGACAGAGGG
rnacentral:ncRNA from 3 species